AUGGAAUUUCCCUAGAGAAACUAGAUGAAAAUACAAACAAAAGCACCAAAUUUUGCUUGAACAAAAGAAUUAAAUGAAAAUACAAACAAAAGCACCAAAUUUUGGUUGAAAGUCUGGCAGGACUGGGCUUUUUGCGAGAGAAUAUAAUGUUGACAUUCAGAAGUACGUAUCCAAUUUUGCCAUGCUAAUAAUAAACAAGUAAUCAUGCGAUGUUACUCGUACAAUUAGGGAUUAAUAAUACUCGUAAUGUUUGGAAAUUUGCCAAAUUGAACUCGCCCCGGCGGCUCGUCCAAGUUUGGAAAAAUUUCCAAACAUCACUCGUACUAUUAAUCCCUAAUUGUACGAGCAACAUCGCAUGAUUACCUAUACUAAAUUUUGAAGUUUUGAAUUUAGAGUUAGCCCCAUGUACUAUGGAAGUAACGUCGCUCCAUGGCUCCCUAACUGUUACAGCCAUGUUUUUACAAACACGACAGGUAAAUACUUUUUUCUUUUUCACAGCACACGCUGCCCAAUUUGUCGUGAAAGUUUUGCUCACAAGCUUGAACGACGACCACUGCCAAAUUCACGAAAACGUUCUGGAAAAUAACAAUAGACCGAUAGCCGAGAAUAGCUAUAAGACUUUCAUGGGCAUAUCAUAAUGGACCUGCUUCAUGUCGCUGGUGAACUUCUAAGCACGGUUAGGCUAUUGAUCCAGUAACUGUAAGUAUUUGUGUAACUUAAAAAGAUAUCAAUGCUCAGGAAAGUUUCCAGAUUACAUGUACUACAUCACACUCUGUCCAGUGAAAGUGACACUAUGUAAAGGAAUUUCAAAAUAACAAAGUGACUAACCUCACGUUUUGUCCAGUAAAAACGACACGAACUCCGGUAACGUUUAUUGUCUUAUGUAUUUAAAAUGACUUUCAAAACGACAAAGUAACUUUUUUUUAAAGUUUGUGUUUUUUGGAUAUUUCAUGAUGUUUGAUACGCAAAUGUACUGCAUUUACCUCCAAAAUGAGUGAUGACUUAUAAAAUUAAAGAAUAACAGUUACUUUCGAAAUAUGUUUGUGUCCAAGAAAUAAGAAGACUAAGUUGGGUAUUAGCUACGUGUGUUUUUCAUCCUCCCACAACUCCAAACUCAUCAUAUUGAAGAAUUACGAAAACUUUGAUUCGACGAUAUUCAUAUAAGAACAUUUAUACGGAAGAAAAGAGUCUUCAAUACGCUGAUGAUUCAACUUUAUAUCGACAUUGCAUGUGGCCGGGUCAACGAGUUGAGUGCGACUAAGUCAAGCGUUGAGGAAAAUUAAUCUAAUUUUCAAUCUGUCAGAAACUACUAAUUAAUGUUCUUUUUGCUUCACAACAAAUUACCAGGAAUUAUGAGUUAGAUAAAUAAAAUUGGGUUGAAAUAGCCGUAAACGAUAUACAAAUGAAACGAGUUUUAUCUGCAUGGAAAGGACUUAGGAUGCUUUUCAAACGAAACUUGUUUGGGAAUCACCAUAUUACAGAUUUAACAUCAUCCUGAUUUGAUAGUUUAAUGCUGCUCAAACGAUUUAAUUUAAGCCAUAUCAUAUCAGAAAGGAACUUCAAGCUUUUUUCUUUAAUUGUUCAAUGCAGAGGAAACGACCAAAGUUUCCACACAUAAUUACGUUACCAAAGUAUUGUCAAAGUCUGCCGCAAAUAUGCCAGGAUUUAAUUUCUAUCCAAGGCUUCGAAAUCAUUAAUUUACAAGGAUUGGAAUAUUAUAUUGAAACAGACGUUUUUAUUCCGAUCUUAUUGAUGUAUUAUAGAAAUUAUUUGAAGAUGCAGUACAAUCUGUUCUGCACAUGUUUACAUUAGAGCUUCCAGCUUGUGAUACGAGCGGUGCUAGGUAUACAUAGCUGGGCUACAUGUUUAUUCAAUGCCUGGUGGUACAUGCAUGCUUGGUUACCGAUUUCACUCUGGAAUACAAAUAUAUAAAUAGUUAGCACCAUUUAAUUUCGUAUACAGGUAAUAAAGUCAUGAUUAUUAUUAUAUUUGGAUACAAACAUGUAAAAAAACUUGGUAACUGCAGACGGACAUUACGGCAUCUUCAUAUAUAAUUUAGCUGUGUUGAUAUAGAUAUUUAUCCUUUUAUUUAUUUAGAUCCAGACGAUUGAUGACAACAACUUGGUUUUCAAUUUUUCUUUCUUUUAUUCCUAUUUAGUUUGUUAAAUCUAGCUUUAAGGAAUAUAAAUGUAUGUAUAAUCAGCGAAUCAUAUAAUUAUAUAGCAAGAAAUAUGCAAAAUCAGCAUCAUCUUUAAAGUUAGUUACAUCGCAUUGUAGACGUGCGUCCUGGUGUAUAUUGGACGUUGCACAACGAAUCUUGCAUGAAGUAAAAAGAACACGUAGAAAAAUGCUGAUUAGAUUAAGAAAAAUGGUUUGGUGGACGUUCAAUUAAUAAUAAUAAUAAUAAUAAUAAUAAUAAUAAUAAUGGAAACUUUAUUUAAUUUUCUAAACUUACAACUGCAAAUCUUAUAAUAAUAAUGAUAAUGAUAAUAAUAAUGAUAAUGAUAAUGAUAAUAAUGAAAACUUUAUUAAUAGAACAUUUAUAGAUAUAUACAAUUGUAAAUCUCACUUCUUGAGGUAACCUACAAUUGACUAUUCAAAUCACUUAUGCAUGAUUAUAAUUUUAUAUACAAAAUCAUUAAUUAUUUGUAGAAAUAGUUUUAAAUGUCCAUUAGUACGGGAUUUGUCCAUUCUUUAUUUCUACAGCAAAAUAUGUAAUAAGUUGCUGUUGAUCGCGGAUGGCAAUAAAUAUAAUUUUUCUGUUGCAACAUUGUUGGUGUUGAUUAUCCAAUCCUAAAUCAUUUAGCAUUUGGCAUUCUUUGUCAAAUACCCCGAGCGAACUGACAGAAAGAUCUAUAAAUUUCACAGAUGUAAAGUUUUGAUCCAAUUCUCUAAUUAGGUUCUUAUAUUUAGAUUUCUUGCGGUUAACAUUGUUUAUGAGGUUUGAUUCAAAGCCUACGGUAAGUUCAACAACGUAGAGGUGUGUGUCUGAAGUGGAGACAAGUAAAUCAGGA